rnacentral:rRNA from 1 species
AACCGCGGUUAAACGAAUGACCCAAGCUGAUAACAUAACGGCGUAAAGGGUGGUUAAGGAGUAACAAAAAUAAAGUUGAAUGACCCCUCGGCCGUUAUACGCCUCUAGAAGUCCGAAACCCAAGUACGAAAGUUACUUUAAUAAUAUUACCUGACCCCACGAAAGCUAAGAAA